rnacentral:lncRNA from 1 species
GCGAGUUAAAUUUUUAAAACUCAAAAAAAACCUAAUACGGUAAAUAUUCCGUAAAUCCCUUACCCAACGCUAAUCCCGAUAGUUUUAGGCUGGUCUAACAAUUUAAUAAAUAUAAUUAUUUAGUUUCCGCUGCUAGAUAAGAUUCAAGGUAAACUUUUUCCCCAACACUGUUGAUACGCCUUUAAUGAUCAACAACAAGAUUACUUUGAUUAUCAAGUACAAAGUACAAUGGAAUAUAUUUUCAAUCCAACAACUGCGUUCAAAACCAAAACCUGCCUUUCCAAUAUUUGAAUUUUGUUAUUCUUUAGUAGGGACCGGUUCAUAAAACCGUUCGGGCCAUUUCUUUUCCGACACUCAAUUACUUUGGGAUGAGUUAAACAGAUUUAAAAAUUUCAAAGAUUUUCCGGCCCUUUCAGUUGUUAGUUGAAAUGCUAAAAUAGAAUGUCCAAGGGACUAUCAAAGAAAUCUCGGACCCCGAACUAUACUUAUUUUAUUCUUUUUUUUUUUUGAGUUAAUAUUAGCCGAUGAACCGUUGAACGUGACUUGUUUUAGUAGAGCCGUAGCAGUGUCGAUUGUUUCGUUGGCCACCACCAAACCAUUCAUUUUUGCAUCUAUUAUCCGUCAUUAUCAGGGAUGAAGUAAGAAAUAAGUUAGUAACCAUACGAUCCAUGCUUAGAUAUUAAUUAAAUAACGAAUAUACAUUAAAAAUUUAAUAAAUAAAUAAGCGG